rnacentral:rRNA from 1 species
GACGAACGCUGGCGGCGUGCUUAACACAUGCAAGUCGAACGGAAAGGCCCUGCUUUUGUGGGGUGCUCGAGUGGCGAACGGGUGAGUAACACGUGAGUAACCUGCCCUUGACUUUGGGAUAACUUCAGGAAACUGGGGCUAAUACCGGAUAGGAGCUCCUGCUGCAUGGUGGGGGUUGGAAAGUUUCGGCGGUUGGGGAUGGACUCGCGGCUUAUCAGCUUGUUGGUGGGGUAGUGGCUUACCAAGGCUUUGACGGGUAGCCGGCCUGAGAGGGUGACCGGCCACAUUGGGACUGAGAUACGGCCCAGACUCCUACGGGAGGCAGCAGUGGGGAAUAUUGCACAAUGGGCGGAGGCCUGAUGCAGCGACGCCGCGUGCGGGAUGACGGCCUUCGGGUUGUAAACCGCUUUCGCCUGUGACGAAGCGUGAGUGACGGUAAUGGGUAAAGAAGCACCGGCUAACUACGUG